GACGAACGCUGGCGGCGUGCUUAACACAUGCGAGUCGAACGGAAAGGCCUCUUUCGGGGGGUACUCGAGUGGCGAACGGGUGAGUAACACGUGAGUAACCUGCCCUUGACUUUGGGAUAACUUCAGGAAACUGGGGCUAAUACCGGAUAGGAGCUCCUGCUGCAUGGUGGGGGUUGGAAAGUUUCGGCGGUUGGGGAUGGACUCGCGGCUUAUCAGCUUGUUGGUGGGGUAGUGGCUUACCAAGGCUUUGACGGGUAGCCGGCCUGAGAGGGUGACCGGCCACAUUGGGACUGAGAUACGGCCCAGACUCCUACGGGAGGCAGCAGUGGGGAAUAUUGCACAAUGGGUGGAAGCCUGAUGCAGCAACGCCGUGUGCGGGAUGACGGCCUUCGGGUUGGAAACCGCUUUCGCUCAUGACGAAGCUUUGUGUGACGGUAGUGGGUAAAGAAGCACCGGCUAACUACGUG
rnacentral:rRNA from 1 species